rnacentral:rRNA from 1 species
AGAGUUUGAUUCUGGCUCAGAACGAACGCUGGCGGCGUGGAUAAGACAUGCAAGUCGAACGAGAGAAUUGCUAGCUUGCUAAUAAUUCUCUAGUGGCGCACGGGUGAGUAACACGUGAGUAACCUGCCCCCGAGAGCGGGAUAGCCCUGGGAAACUGGGAUUAAUACCGCAUAGUAUCGAAAGAUUAAAGCAGCAAUGCGCUUGGGGAUGGGCUCGCGGCCUAUUAGUUAGUUGGUGAGGUAACGGCUCACCAAGGCGAUGACGGGUAGCCGGUCUGAGAGGAUGUCCGGCCACACUGGAACUGAGACACGGUCCAGACACCUACGGGUGGCAGCAGUCGAGAAUCAUUCACAAUGGGGGAAACCCUGAUGGUGCGACGCCGCGUGGGGGAAUGAAGGUCUUCGGAUUGUAAACCCCUGUCAUGUGGGAGCAAAUUAAAAAGAUAGUACCACAAGAGGAAGAGACGGCUAACUCUGUGCCAGCAGCCGCGGUAAUACAGAGGUCUCAAGCGUUGUUCGGAAUCACUGGGCGUAAAGCGUGCGUAGGCUGUUUCGUAAGUCGUGUGUGAAAGGCGCGGGCUCAACCCGCGGACGGCACAUGAUACUGCGAGACUAGAGUAAUGGAGGGGGAACCGGAAUUCUCGGUGUAGCAGUGAAAUGCGUAGAUAUCGAGAGGAACACUCGUGGCGAAGGCGGGUUCCUGGACAUUAACUGACGCUGAGGCACGAAGGCCAGGGGAGCGAAAGGGAUUAGAUACCCCUGUAGUCCUGGCAGUAAACGGUGCACGCUUGGUGUGCGGGGAAUCGACCCCCUGCGUGCCGGAGCUAACGCGUUAAGCGUGCCGCCUGGGGAGUACGGUCGCAAGAUUAAAACUCAAAGAAAUUGACGGGGACCCGCACAAGCGGUGGAGUAUGUGGCUUAAUUCGAUGCAACGC